CCUACGGGAGGCAGCAGUGAGGAAUAUUGGUCAAUGGCCGGAAGGCUGAACCAGCCAUGCCGCGUGAAGGUCAGUGCCCUAUGGGCGUUAAACUUCUUUUGUGCGGGAGCAAUAAUGGUCACGUGUGGCCAGACGAGAGUACCGUACGAAUAAGCAUCGGCUAACUCCGUGCCAGCAGCCGCGGUAAUACGGGGGAUGCAAGCGUUAUCCGGAUUUAUUGGGUUUGAAGGGUGCGUAGGCUGGGAGGUAAGUCAGCGGUGAAAUGCCCGCGCUCAACGGGGUGAAGUGCCAUUGAGACUGGGGUGCUGGAGUGCGGAUGCGGUGGGGGGAAUGUGUGGUGGAGCGGUGAAAGGCAUAGAGAGCACGCAGAACACCGAUUGCGAAGGCAUCUCACG
rnacentral:rRNA from 1 species